rnacentral:rRNA from 1 species
GGGGAGAGUUUGAUCCUGGCUCAGAUUGAACGCUGGCGGCAUGCCUUACACAUGCAAGUCGAACGGUAACAGGUCUUCGGAUGCUGACGAGUGGCGAACGGGUGAGUAAUACAUCGGAACGUGCCCGAUCGUGGGGGAUAACGGAGCGAAAGCUUUGCUAAUACCGCAUACGAUCUACGGAUGAAAGCGGGGGAUCUUCAGACCUCGCGCGGACGGAGCGGCCGAUGGCAGAUUAGGUAGUUGGUGGGAUAAAAGCUUACCAAGCCGACGAUCUGUAGCUGGUCUGAGAGGAUGAUCAGCCACACUGGGACUGAGACACGGCCCAGACUCCUACGGGAGGCAGCAGUGGGGAAUUUUGGACAAUGGGGGCAACCCUGAUCCAGCCAUGCCGCGUGCAGGAUGAAGGCCUUCGGGUUGUAAACUGCUUUUGUACGGAACGAAAAGACUCUGGUUAAUACCUGGGGUCCAUGACGGUACCGUAAGAAUAAGCACCGGCUAACUACGUGCCAGCAGCCGCGGUAA